AUUGAACGCUGGCGGCAGGCCUAACACAUGCAAGUCGAGCGGAUGAAGGGAUCUUGCUCCUGGCUUCUGCGGCGGACGGGUGAGUUAUGCCUAAGAAUCUGCCUGGUAGUGGGGUAUAACGUCCGGAAAUGUGCGCUAAUACCGCAUACGUCCUGAGUGAGAACGUGGGGGAUCUUCGGACCUCACGCCCUCAGAUGAUCCUAGGUCGGAUUAGCUAGUUGGUGGGGUAAAGGCCUUCCAAGGCGACGAUCCGUAACUGGUCUGAGAGGAUGAUCAGGCACACUGGAACUGAGACACGGUCCAGACUCCUACGGGAGGCAGCAGUGGGGAAUAUUGGACAAUGGGCGAAAGCCUGAUCCAGCCAUGCCGCGUGUGUGAAGAAGGUCUUCGGAUUGUAAAGCACUUUAAGUAGGGAGGAAGGGCAGUAAGUUAAUACCUGGCUGUUUUGACGGUACCAACAGAAUAAGCACCGGCUAACUUCGUG
rnacentral:rRNA from 1 species